UACGUAGGGCGCAAGCGUUAUCCGGAAUUAUUGGGCGUAAAGAGCUCGUAGGCGGUUUGUCGCGUCUGCCGUGAAAGUCCGGGGCUUAACUCCGGAUCUGCGGUGGGUAUGGGCAGACUAGAGUGCAGUAGGGGAGACUGGAAUUCCUGGUGUAGCGGUGAAAUGCGCAGAUAUCAGGAGGAACACCGAUGGCGAAGGCAGGUCUCUGGGCUGUAACUGACGCUGAGGAGCGAAAGCAUGGGGAGCGAACAGG
rnacentral:rRNA from 1 species